GACGAACGCUGGCGGCGUGCCUAAUACAUGCAAGUAGAACGCUGAAGAGAGGAGCUUGCUCUUCUUGGAUGAGUUGCGAACGGGUGAGUAACGCGUAGGUAACCUGCCUUGUAGCGGGGGAUAACUAUUGGAAACGAUAGCUAAUACCGCAUAACAAUGGAUGACACAUGUCAUUUAUUUGAAAGGGGCAAUUGUUCCACUACAAGAUGGACCUGCGUUGUAUUAGCUAGUAGGUGAGGUAAUGGCUCACCUAGGCGACGAUACAUAGCCGACCUGAGAGGGUGAUCGGCCACACUGGGACUGAGACACGGCCCAGACUCCUACGGGAGGCAGCAGUAGGGAAUCUUCGGCAAUGGGGGCAACCCUGACCGAGCAACGCCGCGUGAGUGAAGAAGGUUUUCGGAUCGUAAAGCUCUGUUGUAAGUCAAGAACGGGUGUGAGAGUGGAAAGUUCACACUGUGACGGUAGCUUACCAGAAAGGGACGGCUAACUACGUGCCAGCAGCCGCGGUAAUACGUAGGUCCCGAGCGUUGUCCGGAUUUAUUGGGCGUAAAGCGAGCGCAGACGGUUUGAUAAGUCUGAAGUUAAAGGCUGUGGCUCAACCAUAGUUCGCUUUGGAAACUGUCAAACUUGAGUGCAGAAGGGGAGAGUGGAAUUCCAUGUGUAGCGGUGAAAUGCGUAGAUAUAUGGAGGAACACCGGUGGCGAAAGCGGCUCUCUGGUCUGUAACUGACGCUGAGGCUCGAAAGCGUGGGGAGCGAACAGGAUUAGAUACCCUGGUAGUCCACGCCGUAAACGAUGAGUGCUAGGUGUUGGAUCCUUUCCGGGAUUCAGUGCCGCAGCUAACGCAUUAAGCACUCCGCCUGGGGAGUACGACCGCAAGGUUGAAACUCAAAGGAAUUGACGGGGGCCCGCACAAGCGGUGGAGCAUGUGGUUUAAUCCGAAGCAACGCGAAGAACCUUACCAGGUCUUGACAUCCCGAUGCUAUUUCUAGAGAUAGAAAGUUACUUCGGUACAUCGGUGACAGGUGGUGCAUGGUUGUCGUCAACUCGUGUCGUGAGAUGUUGGGUUAAGUCCCGCAACGAGCGCAACCCCUAUUGUUAGUUGCCAUCAUUCAGUUGGGCACUCUAGCGAGACUGCCGGUAAUAAACCGGAGGAAGGUGGGGAUGACGUCAAAUCAUCAUGCCCCUUAUGACCUGGGCUACACACGUGCUACAAUGGUUGGUACAACGAGUUGCGAGUCGGUGACGGCGAGCUAAUCUCUUAAAGCCAAUCUCAGUUCGGAUUGUAGGCUGCAACUCGCCUACAUGAAGUCGGAAUCGCUAGUAAUCGCGGAUCAGCACGCCGCGGUGAAUACGUUCCCGGGCCU
rnacentral:rRNA from 1 species